AAGUUCACAUUUUUUUCUCUUGAAGAUUUAAUCAGCCACCGGUUUGUCAAAUACAGCCGCCGAAAAAAACACACAUCGAAACGAUGGGGGCGAAGGCGAGGAAAGCGUCGAAGAAAGCAAUAAAGAAGGCUUCUUCUCAAUUUCCUAACUCUGAUUCCAAGACUGCUUCAGCUGAUUUCCUGCCGUUGGAAGGUGGUCCGCGUGAAAUUCCAGAGACCAAACCCCUUCAAAAAAAUGCUACUGUCCUGUAUGUUGGUCGAAUCCCACAUGGGUUUUAUGAGAUAGAGAUGGAAGCUUAUUUUCAGCAGUUUGGUGCCAUUAAGAGAUUAAGGAUUGCAAGAAAUAAAAAGACAGGAAGAUCAAAGCACUUUGGCUUCAUCGAAUUUGAGAAUCCACAGGUGGCUGAAGUUGUAGCUGAUUGUAUGCAUAAUUAUCUUUUGUUCGAGCAUCUUUUGCAAGUCCAUCUUAUUCCUCCGGAGCAUGUUCAUCCAAAAUUAUGGAGAGGUUUCAAUUAUAAAUUCAAGCCAGUGGACUAUGUGCAAAUUGAACGAAAGCAGCAUAAUAAGGUGAGAACAUUGGAAGAGCACAAAAAGUUGGUGGAGAAGAUCAUAAAACGAGACACAAAGCGUAGAAAGAGGAUAGAGGCUGCUGGCAUUGAUUAUGAAUGCCCAGAAAUUAGAAAUCCAAUAUGGAAAGCGAUACUUUUCAUCAAAGAUGUGUUUUAGUUGAAGGGGCUUUGUAACCUGGUCCUUCCUCUUUUUCACCUGUGACAACCAUCAAUAUGGGUGUAAUUCGACUGAAAAUCGUGGGUAGCGGUCAGUCUGCUCCAAAGAAGAUAAAGUUCGACGAAGAUUAGGCACCAUUAAGUUUUACUACCAAAUGCUGACUAUGAAGGUAAUGGCUUACACAAUAUAGUCCUCCUGAGAUGCUAAAAAAUUGCAAGUUUAAUGUGUAGUUGAGCUGGUGACAAGCUGUAUUGCCUUUGGCUCUGCAACAAGUAGGAAGUUUUAUAUUUAUAAUGUUGGAUCCUGUUAAGACCAGACCUCCUGUUGGAAUCAAAUUUUGUUAUAUGUAAUUUCAAUCAAUGUUGUUUUUUA